rnacentral:rRNA from 1 species
GGAGAGUAAUACCGUAUGUGCCCUUCGGGGAAAGAUUUAUCGCCUUUGGAUUAGCCCGCGUUAGAUUAGGUAGUUGGUGGGGUAAUGGCCUACCAAGCCUACGAUCUAUAGCUGGUUUUAGAGGAUGAUCAGCAACACUGGGACUGAGACACGGCCCAGACUCCUACGGGAGGCAGCAGUGGGGAAUCUUGGACAAUGGGGGCAACCCUGAUCCAGCCAUGCCGCGUGAGUGAUGAAGGCCUUAGGGUCGUAAAGCUCUUUCGCCUGUGAAGAUAAUGACGGUAGCAGGUAAAGAAACCCCGGCUAACUCCGUGCCAGCAGCCGCGGUAAUACGGAGGGGGUUAGCGUUGUUCGGAAUUACUGGGCGUAAAGCGCACGUAGGCGGAUCGGAAAGUUGGGGGUGAAAUCCCGGGGCUCAACCCCGAACUGCCUCCAAAACUAUCAGUCUAGAGUUCGAGAGAGGUGAGUGGAAUUCCAAGUGUAGAGGUGAAAUUC